CAGUAGCCGCGGGAAAACGAAGGGUGCAAGCGUUAAUCGGAAUUACUGGGCGUAAAGCGCACGUAGGCGGCUUGGUAAGUUAGAGGUGAAAGCCUGGAGCUCAACUCCAGAAUUGCCUUUAAGACUGCCGAGCUAGCAGGUGAGAGAGGUAAGUGGUAUUCCGAGUGUAGAGGUGAAAUUCGUAGAUAUUCGGAAAAACACCAGUGGCGAAGGCGGCUUACUGGAUCAUACUGGACGCUGAGGUGCGAAAGCGUGGGGAGCAAACAGGAUUAGAUACCCCGGUAGUCCCUGUCUCUUAUAA
rnacentral:rRNA from 1 species